CGGAUUCUGGCUCAGGAUGAACGCUAGCUACAGGCUUAACACAUGCAAGUCGAGGGGCAGCAUGAUCGAAGCUUGCUUUGAUUGAUGGCGACCGGCGCACGGGUGAGUAACGCGUAUCCAACCUUCCCUAUAGUAGAGGAUAGCCCGGCGAAAGUCGGAUUAAUACUCUAUGUUUUCCAAUGCAGACAUCUAAAAUGGAACAAAGGUUUACCGCUAUAGGAUGGGGAUGCGUCUGAUUAGGUUGUUGGCGGGGUAACGGCCCACCAAGCCUACGAUCAGUAGGGGUUCUGAGAGGAAGGUCCCCCACAUUGGAACUGAGACACGGUCCAAACUCCUACGGGAGGCAGCAGUGAGGAAUAUUGGUCAAUGGGCGAGAGCCUGAACCAGCCAAGUAGCGUGCAGGAUGACGGCCCUAUGGGUUGUAAACUGCUUUUAUACAGGGAUAAAGUGCGCCACGUGUGGCGCUUUGUAGGUACUGUAUGAAUAAGGACCGGCUAAUUCCGUGCCAGCAGCAGC
rnacentral:rRNA from 1 species